rnacentral:rRNA from 1 species
UUGAUCAUGGCUCAGAUUGAACGCUGGCGGCAGGCCUAACACAUGCAAGUCGAGCGGUAACAGGGGAAGCUUGCUUCCCGCUGACGAGCGGCGGACGGGUGAGUAAUGUAUGGGGAUCUGCCCGAUAGAGGGGGAUAACCACUGGAAACGGUGGCUAAUACCGCAUAAUCUCUUAGGAGCAAAGCAGGGGAACUUCGGUCCUUGCGCUAUCGGAUGAACCCAUAUGGGAUUAGCUAGUAGGUGGGGUAAUGGCUCACCUAGGCGACGACCCCUAGCUGGUCUGAGAGGAUGAUCAGCCACACUGGGACUGAGACACGGCCCAGACUCCUACGGGAGGCAGCAGUGGGGAAUAUUGCACAAUGGGCGCAAGCCUGAUGCAGCCAUGCCGCGUGUAUGAAGAAGGCCUUAGGGUUGUAAAGUACUUUCAGUCGGGAGGAAGGCGUUGAUGCUAAUAUCAUCAACGAUUGACGUUACCGACAGAAGAAGCACCGGCUAACUCCGUGCCAGCAGCCGCAGUAAUACGGAGGGUGCAAGCGUUAAUCGGAAUUACUGGGCGUAAAGCGCACGCAGGCGGUUGAUUAAGUUAGAUGUGAAAUCCCCGGGCUUAACCUGGGAAUGGCAUCUAAGACUGGUCAGCUAGAGUCUUGUAGAGGGGGGUAGAAUUCCAUGUGUAGCGGUGAAAUGCGUAGAGAUGUGGAGGAAUACCGGUGGCGAAGGCGGCCCCCUGGACAAAGACUGACGCUCAGGUGCGAAAGCGUGG